CCAAUCAUACCUUCAUAAUGGCAUCAUCCACCAAUAUAUUCAUAAAUAGAUUAACAAAUGAUUCUUAAUGUUUCACAUUAAAUAUUCAUAUACACAUAAUUAGUCCUUGACCUUCAGCGGAGUGACUCUGGGAACGAUUGCUAACACUUGGUGUCAAGUUAAACCUACCAAGCAAUGUAUAGGGAGGAGCACCUUGUCCUAAGAUCCAAUCACCUUUAACUCAGGAAACCUAAAACAUGAAUUUUAAAAACUUGUGUAUAAACUCAGUGAGUGAACAUAGGAAGGGAAUAAGCAACGUUAAGGAAGGUUUAGAAAUUAUGAUGCACAUCUUUGAAAACAAUGCAACUUAGUUAACGUUCUUAUUAAAAUCCCUCCACCAAACGCCUGGUUAUUAAAGCAUUUCAUAAUGAAGGAACCAUAUUUAGCAUGAAAUUGGAAAGAGAGGAAAUUUUCAGAAAACAUUUUAUCUCACCCAGCUCAUGUGCAUCCCACCACAUCGUGCACAUAGCCGGACACCAUAUCUCACCCAACUCAUGUGCAUCCCACAACAUCGUGGACAUAACUGGACACCACAUCGCACCCAGCUCAUGCGCAUCCCACCACAUCGUGCACAUAGCCAGACACCACAUCUCACCCAGCUCAUGUGCAUCCCACCACAUCGUGCACAUAGUCGGACACCACAUUUCACCCAUCUCAUGCACGGUUACAUUUGUCACACAAUGGUACAAUUUAUGACAUAAUAUACAUAUAUAUAUAUAUAUCAAUAUCAUGCAAACACAUGUGGAUUCAUUCUUUUACACAUUUCACAUUUCACAACAUCAAACAUUUUAUCAAGGGCUUGUUCCCAGGCAAUCUUAAAGCAAAAAUCGAUAAGAUUCCCAAAUGAUUCUUUGAAACAUGUAAACAUUUCCCCAAAAUAUUUUGAAAUGCAAGUUCACUCACUGGUAUUUGUUGAACCUUUAAUCGACUCUAACUUCCCUAAUCAUCCAAAUGGAGCUGAGGGGCCUUGUUAAAACUUAUCAUGCAUAAAACAUUACAGCCAAUCCAAUUUACAUUAAUAUCACUCCAAAAGCUGUUUUCCUAAAUCAAGCUUCACUAGCCCUUCCUAUCUAUCUUCCAUUACCAUUUGAUUGGCUAUUCCGUUCUCUACUUUAGUAACACUAGAAAUAGAUAAACAACUUCAGCAAUACACAAUUCAUAACUCUAAUUAUUAGCCUUUAUCAACAACUUAAAACAAAUCUUAAUUCAUCGCUCACCUUGGUGGAUUGUAAUGAAAUUUCUUCCCAAGAGUCCUCAAGCUAUCAUGAAACCUUUCUUUCUCUCUCUAAAAAGUUCAACUGGUGAAAAAAAGUAUUAAAGAAAGACUUUUAAGAGUUUGUUUAAGGUGAAGGAGAAAAAGAGUAUGAAAAACCCUACAACAGGGUGUGUAAAGCUUGAAAAUUAUGGCUAGUUUGAGAGAGUAAUGGAAGCUUGAGAGACGUUUUCAUGGAAGAGGAGAGAAACAUGAGAUGGGAGGAGGAAGAAAAGGAAGUUGCUGGAGAAAUGUGGAAGCUGCUGGAAGAAUGAGAUUUUUAUAGUUAAAGCUUAUCUAAAUCUUCAUGCAAUUACAAUAAUGCCCUUACCAAGGCCACUUGUCUUCCUCCUUUUUUUGUGCAAUCUUUUUACUCUUUGACAUUUGGAAAAGGUCCAAAAUCCUCUAAAAAAGGUACCUUAAGCAGCCCUCAAAAGUUCGAGCUUCAAAAAUCCCCUAAACUUGUUAUUUUUGGAAUUUACAAUGAGGGUCGCGGCUCUCAAUUUUCAACGCCGCGGAGCUCAAAUGUUCUGUCCAACUCUGUUUUUUUGGUGCAGUAUUUUCACCUUGAAAAAGGUUUAUGACCACCUUUUCGUCAAAACUGGGCAAAGUGGUAAACAUCAAAGUUAUAGCCCUACCUCUUAGCUUUCUAAUGGUUUAAAAAUCAUGUUAUGUGGACUCUUCUAAUGGGAGCUAUGCUUGAAAAACCGAAACAUAUGCAAAUAGAGCAACAGCCCAUUAUGCACCUUUCUUCACCCAUUGAAAUUAUUUUUGAAUCCUACCCCUAUAACAACAUAAGAUAAUUAUAAGUAACAUAAAACUAGCAUCAUUAGCUCAAAUUAAACCUUUAAACAUAAGUUCCACCUCGAGUUAUGCAUCUAUGAAGGUCGAGGUUUCAUACGUAAGCAUUAUUAGCCACCAUAUCAAAGUACGGGGUACUACAGUCUCCCCCACUUAAAAUGAAUUCGUCCUCGAAUUCUAAUCAGCAUAGUGUGAAUAGUCAAAGUUCUAAAAGUCUGCCACAUCACUUUUGUCGAGCAUUCUUAACAUAAGAUCUUGGUUUAUGUAUUAUAUCGACUUCCAAUCUUUAUAGAAAAUUCGACAAUAUCAUAAUACAUUUAAUCAUGGGUACUACUUUUGUUGGAUCAAAACAAUAUCAUUCUUCAUCUUAUGAAGAGAAUUCAAAUAUGCUAUUAAUUCUGGUCACACCUCAAUCAAAUCAUCUUUAAAUCAUCAAUUAUGCAUGUUUACUUAACCAUCCACAACUCCUCUACCUUGAUCUUUUAUCAAACUUUCCCACAUUCAAGCAUUUCAUAAUACGUGAGGGUCAAAACAUGCUUUAUUUAUUUUAGAUUAUUUAACAUCAUGGAUGAUUCAAAUCUAGUAACCACUAGUAACCAUAUCCCCAAAAACAAACUCCAAAACUUUCAUGAUCGAGUGCUUACUAGAUAAAUCUCAAUUUAUACCACCAAGCAUUUUAAUAAACCAUGACAUCCCACAUACCUCCUUAUGAUCUUAACCAAUCUCUUUAAUCAAUAACCCAACCACUUAAGGUUAAAGUUGCUCAAAAUUUUUCCUUUAAAAUUCCUUUCCUAGUCUUGUCUUGAUUACUAAUCAUCUCUAUAUUUCCAAUGUCAUAGCUAAUUUGUUCGCCGUCAACCACAUACAACAUAUCUAACUUGAAAUUCCUCAAAUCUACUCCAAAUGUCAGAUCUCAUGGCCUCAUUAGUUUAUCAGUUUGAGGAUGAUGUUAGACAUUGAUCUUUCCUUAACUGUAGUUUGAAAUCAAGGAAUCAUUUACUAAGACCUUACCGAAAUUAACUUCCUUUAGCCCUUUUUACCUUAGAAAAUUAAAUCCAUAAUCAUUCAUUCUAAAUUGUGGGCUUUAUGCUAAUCAAGGUAGAUUUCACACUUUUUUUGACACGAAUUCAAAUGCACACCUUCACGCAUAAGCUAUAAUCUUUUUGCCAAAUCUUCAUAUAUCAUAACUAUAUAUUGGAGCUAUAUCAAAACUGAUACAUCAUUUUCUAUUGCCCCUUAGGAUUUUAAAUUCAUGUCAUACUUCUCUAUUUGUGUACUUUAUAAUAGCCUCACAAUUUCCAGCUCACAAUUAAGCUAGUUCAGAUGCCCAGCCUCUCAAGCUAUAUCAAGAACAUCAAGUUUGAUUACGAUAUAAUAGAACUUUAUGAACUCAUACUAAAAAUAUAAACACUUACUUUUAGGCUAACAGAAUUAUAAUCAACUUAUUCACUGCCAAGAUCACCGAUGGAUUAUCUUAGUCAUUACCUAAUGCUAUAACAGCUGAUAGGAUAUCAUCAUCGAAUCAAAUUAUAACCAACUCUAUUUGAUUUUAUUUUCACCCAUAUGCAACAUAUAUAUAUCCAUAUAUAUUUUCAAAAAUUUUUACUUCAAGUAGCCUUAGGCAUAUCAAGCUCAAUAAGCCAUCUGUAAAACCAAAAUAACCAAUAAUCAAGUUUAGAAUUGUCAUGACCUGGUACUCUCGUCAAGCCCAUGACAACCGUCGCGAUGUUCCGAUAGACAUUCAUUACCCAGAAUGCCAACCGAAACCCCGCAAGGCUUUAAUAUCAGUUUUCGCACCUCCCCUGUGAGCAACAGUUCUUAAGCAUCAUGUUUUGAGAGAUUAUAAACUAUUUUCAAAUCAAAACAAUAGAAAAAUAAUUUUUCGCUCACAAGAGCAUGUUGGUCAUUUUUCCUCGAAAGUCUCGAAACCGGCUAAAAAUGUAGUAUACGAGUAUAAAACACAUAAUUCACAAUCAAAAAUAAGUUUAAACGUCUAAAACCUUCAUUUAAAAUGAAAUUAUGACUAUUUGAAUAUAAUAAAAAUAUUUAAUAAAAUAUUCUAUUUUCUUAUAAAACAAUACUUAUAGAGUUACCGGUAAAUAAUUUUUGUAGCGUAAAAGUUAAAUAAAUUCAUACAUAUUGUAAUAUAGAUAACCAAAGUAUAAAAUUUAAUUUACAAUGACAUGUGGGCCCACGAACGACCAAAAGUAUCAAAAGUGGUAAACCUACAGUUUUUGAGGAUGCAAGUCCAACUGUAGCUCUCAACGAAAUGAGCUAUCUACUGACUAUGUUGAGCCUAAAAUGGGUGGAAAUGAGGGUGGUGAGAUUAUAUAAUCCCAGUGAGUAAACAAAUACCAUCUAAAAUAUCUAAAGCUGAGUAAAUGGAGACAAAUAAAAUAAUUUAACAUACUGUAAUUCAUCACCUUUCAACUCAUUUCAACCAAAUAAAAUCAAUUCAUAUAAAUCGAGUAAUCAACAUGGCUUAUGAAUUUCUUAAAACUUUGGCUCGUGCCAAAAUCAUUCUCAUACUCAAUUAUCAGGGAUACCUUGGCCGAGGGCUAUCCCAACCGAGUCUACCAAGGCUAUUAGAAAGUUAUGUACGCAUAAAUCAUGUUUUUAUUUUUGAAAACAUAGUCAUUCCUUGGCGUUAGCUGAGUUCACCUCACGUAGUGGUUUGGUGUGAAGUGAACUCUAAAGUGUUAACCUCAGGAGUUAUCCAUCCGCGCCUCUCAUACUGAGGUACUAAUAUAAUAGGGUUACCGUGCCCCCUCUAAUAAGCUGGUCCACGAAACCCAUCCACUGCAGCGACUAAUCAAUAACCCACCAAUUCAAUAAAAAUUUAAUAGCAUGACAUGGCAAUUUUAUCAUUAUCCAGCCUAUCAAGGCAAACAACAGUUUAUACAUUUUCAACACAAAUACCAAUUCAACCAUUCAUGCCAAUAUUAUCAUAAGCCAUUCAAUUCAAACCAUGAUUUAUAACACAACAAUUAGUCUCCAAUUACUCCAUUUUCAAAGCCAUCAUUCAAUUUCAAGACAAUUUAUAAAAUCAUUUCAUUUAAGCACAUUUUGUUUAUAAAACAUAAAGAUUUACCAUUUAAACACAUUUUUCUAUAAAAUCACAAAAACGAAUAAAAACUACUUUAGAUAAUUAAGACGAUAGUAAGGUUACUCACAGUAAUGGAAAUCGAGUUUCGAGUACUCCGAUUCUUGAUCCUCGAGUACUAGCUCUUUACUUUUGCCAGAAUGCUCACCACCUAGACAUAAUGCACAAUAAGCCAUUUACUACAUUUGUGCUAAAUUGUUAUAAAACCAAUCCAGGCUCUAUACUAAUGCAUGAAAUGGAAUGUAAAUUGUUCAAAUUAUCAUCUAAACACGGUGUUCAAUAUAAAUUCAAUUAUGUACUUCAAUAAAAUGGUAUUGGCCUAAUUCGAUCUAUCACCCAAUUAAUUGGCCAAUACGUCCAAUUCAACUUCGAAUAAUUCCAUUUUUCUCCCAAUACUCCAAAUCAUCAAACACAAAUUAAAUAACUUGAAAUAUGGCAAAAUCAUCCUCACAUUUUCUCUUGGAGAAUUCGGCCAUGAUGGGUGCAUCAACACUAUAAUUUUUCCUACUUGAUUCUCACACCAUAAAUCAUUAAUUCCUAACCAAAUCACUUGAAAUAAAAUCAAAAUCAUCCUCAAUAUUCCACAUGGAGAAUUCGGCCAAUGAUGGGUGAUGGAAGAACAUGAAAUUUUCUUGCUUGAUUUUCAUGCUACACAUCACCAAUCAACUAAAAACACUAAAAUACAUUGAAAUCUAACCAAAUCAAGCAUCAAAUCCUCUCUCUAAGUGUUCAGCCAGCAAGAUACCCAUCAUGAAAUCAUGUGAUUCAACCAUGGAAAAUGCAAAAGAAUGUAUGGGAAAGGCAGAUCACAAGUCAAAAUCAAGAAAUUUUACCUUUAAUUACUUGAUUACUUGAAAUCCACCAAAUUUUCUCUUGAAUUUUCACCCUAGGGUUCUUGUUCUUUCUUUUCUUCCUUUGUUAUUG
rnacentral:lncRNA from 1 species